AGUGAACGCUGGCGGUAGGCCUAACACAUGCAAGUCGAACGGCAGCACAGUAAGAGCUUGCUCUUACGGGUGGCGAGUGGCGGACGGGUGAGGAAUACAUCGGAAUCUACUUUUUCGUGGGGGAUAACGUAGGGAAACUUACGCUAAUACCGCAUACGACCUACGGGUGAAAGCAGGGGAUCUUCGGACCUUGCGCGAUUGAAUGAGCCGAUGUCGGAUUAGCUAGUUGGCGGGGUAAAGGCCCACCAAGGCGACGAUCCGUAGCUGGUCUGAGAGGAUGAUCGUCCACACUGGAACUGAGACCCGGUCCAGACUCCUACGGGAGGCCGCAGUGGGGAAUAUUGGAGAAUGGGCGCAAGUCUGAUCCAGCCAUACCGCGUGGGUGAAGAAGGCCUUCGGGUUGUAAAGCCCUUUUGUUGGGAAAGAAAAGCAGCAGGUUAAUACCCAGCUGUUCUGACGGUACCCAAAGAAUAAGCACCGGCUAACUUCGUG
rnacentral:rRNA from 1 species